UACGGGGGGGGCAAGCGUUGUUCGGAAUUACUGGGCGUAAAGGGUUCGUAGGUGGCUUGCUAAGUCAGACGUGAAAUCCCUCAGCUUAACUGGGGAACUGCGUCUGAGACUGGCAAGCUUGAGUGCAGGAGAGGAACGCGGAAUUCCAGGUGUAGCGGUGAAAUGCGUAGAUAUCUGGAGGAACACCGAUGGCGAAGGCAGGUCUCUGGGCAUUAACUGACGCUGAGGAGCGAAAGCAUGGGGAGCGAACAGG
rnacentral:rRNA from 1 species